GACGAACGCUGGCGGCGUGCCUAAUACAUGCAAGUCGAACGCUUCUUUCCUCCCGAGUGCUUGCACUCAAUUGGAAAGAGGAGUGGCGGACGGGUGAGUAACACGUGGGUAACCUACCCAUCAGAGGGGGAUAACACUUGGAAACAGGUGCUAAUACCGCAUAACAGUUUAUGCCGCAUGGCAUAAGAGUGAAAGGCGCUUUCGGGUGUCGCUGAUGGAUGGACCCGCGGUGCAUGAGCUAGUUGGUGAGGUAACGGCAUACCAAGGCCACGAUGCAUAGCCGAUCUGAGAGGGUGAUGGGCCACACUGGGACUGAGACACGGCCCAGACUCCUACGGGAGGCAGCGGUAGGGAAUCUUCGGGAAUGGACGAAAGUCUGACCGAGCAACGCCGCGUGAGUGAAGAAGGUUUUCGGAUCGUAAAACUCUGUUGUUAGAGAAGAACAAGGGCGUUAGUAACUGAGCGUCCCCUGACGGUAUCUAAACAGAAAGCCACGGCUAACUACGUG
rnacentral:rRNA from 1 species